rnacentral:rRNA from 1 species
AACUAACGCUGGCGGCGUGCCUAACACAUGCAAGUCGUACGAGAAAGCCGGCUUCGGCUGGUGAGUAAAGUGGCGCACGGGUGAGUAAUGCGUGGAUAAUCUGCCCUUUAGUUGGGAAUAACGUACCGAAAGGUGCGCUAAUACCUGAUAAUACUGCAUAACUACUGUUGUGUAGUCAAAGAAGGCCUCUGUUUACAAGUCUUUUUGCUGAAGGAUGAGUCCGCGUACCAUUAGCUGGUUGGUGGGGUAAUGGCCUACCAAGGCUACGAUGGUUAGCUGGUCUGAGAGGAUGAUCAGCCACACUGGAACUGAGACACGGUCCAGACUCCUACGGGAGCAGCAGUGAGGAAUAUUGCGCAAUGGGGGCAACCCUGACGCAGCAACGCCGCGUGAGUGAGGAAGGUUUUCGGACCGUAAAGCUCUGUCGAGCGGGAAGAAAUGUAUCAUGGCUAAUAUCCAUGAUACUUGACGGUACCGCUAAAGGAAGACG